rnacentral:rRNA from 1 species
UACGUAGGGUGCAAGCGUUAAUCGGAAUUACUGGGCGUAAAGCGUGCGCAGGCGGUUUUGUAAGACAGGUGUGAAAUCCCCGGGCUUAACCUGGGAACUGCAUUUGUGACUGCAAAGCUGGAGUGCGGCAGAGGGGGAUGGAAUUCCGCGUGUAGCAGUGAAAUGCGUAGAUAUGCGGAGGAACACCGAUGGCGAAGGCAAUGUUCUGGCUCGUUUCUGACGCUCAGGUGCGAAAGCCAGGGGAGCGAACGGG